UUAAACAGACAUGAACAUGCUUGUGCGGGACCCUUAUAAAAGCUUCUUCUCUCCUCAGGUCAACAACAAGCUCACCUCAAAGCACAGCAGAGACAACUGAAACCAGCGUCAUUCUCUGACUCUCUAGAUUUCAGCAGGAACAAUGGCCAACAUUGGUAAUACCGGCAACAUCAAGGUGGGCUGCAACUCAGGCAACGUUGGUUCUAAUAAUGCCUUCGGCAUUCAAGGAGGGGUUGGACACAAUGCUUCUGUGGGCAACACCACUGGAGUCACUGUCACAGGAAGUAAUGCAGGGAACAUCGGAUCAGGCAACACAUUUGAUAUAAAAGGAGGAGUGGCAGGUUGUCAAAGCGUUUGCCACACUGCUACUGUUAAACCUUGUUGUAAACCAGGAUGCACUGGUUCAGGGCAUUGCUGCAAAUGAGCUAAGGAAAUCGGCCUCCAACUCUUCCAAAAACAAUGCACCAUUUGUUGAAUGUUGAAUUCAUGAUUUCAAAUCAACAGUAUGAAUGUAAAGGAAAUUUGAGUGCAA